rnacentral:rRNA from 1 species
UACGGAAGGCAGCAGUGGGGAAUAUUGCACAAUGGGCGAAAGCCUGAUGCAGCUAUGCCGCGUGUAUGAAGAAGGCCUUAGGGUUGUAAAGUACUUUCAUCGGGGAGGAAAAACAAAACUAAUAAUUUUAUUUCUUGACGUUACCCGAAAAAGAAGCACCGGCUAACUCCGUGCCAGCAGCCGCGGUAAUACGGAGGGUGCUAGCGUUAAUCAGAAUUACUGGGCGUAAAGAGCACGUAGGUGGUUUUUUUAAGUCAGAUGUGAAAUCCCCUGGGCUUAACCUAGGAACUGCAUUUUGAAACUGAAAUACUAGAGUAUCGUAGAGGGAGGUAGAAUUCUAGGUGUAGCGGUGAAAUGCGUAGAUAUCUGGAGGAAUACCUGUGGCGAAAGCGGCCUCCUAAACGAAUACUGACACUGAGGUGCGAAAGCGUGGGGAGCAAACAGGGAUUAGACUACC